rnacentral:miRNA from 1 species
CUCCAGAUGUUGCUGAACUACAACUCCCAUGAUUCUCAGCCUACCUAUUUUAUUCAUAGAAUCGCGGGAGUUGUACUUCAGCAACAUCUGGAG